rnacentral:ncRNA from 1 species
AAGAGCCGUAUAACGGGAGACUGUACGUACGGAUCUGUGGGAGCCCGAGGGUGAGAUUCCCUCGGGCUACCCGAC